rnacentral:tRNA from 1 species
AAGGCUUUAGCUUAAUUAAAGCGUUUGAGUUGCAUUCAUAAAAUAUGGGUUAAAGUCCCGUAAGCCUUA